UAAGUUUUUGAUACUUAAAGUAAACGUAGUUUUCUUAUAAAAAAUUAUGGUUUGGAAGCUAAUUAGG
rnacentral:tRNA from 1 species